GGAAAUCUUCGCGUUGGAAAAGGGAAUUUUUAUGAGACUGCAAAGAACAUAAAAUGAAUAGACAAUCCAACCAACCAAAGACCGGGGGCAGCAGCAGGCCAGCAAGACGGCAUCUUCUCCUUCCCAGCCUAGAAGCCCUGUGAAAUCGAGGAUCUUCCCCCUAAAACACAUACACACAAGAUAUGUGCAAUCAAGCUGCCACCGCUUGGUAAAAAGCUCAUGGUGCCUAACCAAAAAGGAUCAGGAACAGAUCCUUGAAUCAGCUGUCACUUCUAUAGAAUGGGAUUUUUUUUCCUUCCUCCUUAACCUGCGCUGGAAAUUGCCGUUGGCUUUAUACAUCUCUAUAGAGAGAGGCUAAAGAGUCUUGCGUGAGAAAGAAGCAAUUUACAAUGCAAAUAGAGGCCUGUGAAGGGACGGAUGCUGCUGCUCACUCGUAACAGCUUGCUGCACCUUAAUAGCUGGUUUUAUUUUCUGAUAUUAAUAGAUGAAUUGUUGGCUAACGCUGCCGGAGAUUACUUGCUGAAAGGAAAAAAAAAAGUUCGGAAUAAACUCUGAAGGCAACAGAUCUCGUUUGGAUGUUUUAGCCGCGCACACACACAAACAGAAACCAGGUCAUAUUUACAUAAAAGGAGGAAUCUUAAGCGCGGCAAGUAUCCUGGACGACCACUCUUCGGUACUGCCAGAAAGGAUCAGGACCUGGAGUCUGGCAAGAGGAAGA
rnacentral:lncRNA from 1 species